UGUUCUUCUCCCUUAUCCUCCGCUGCUGCCGUUUCGCCCCCGCUGCGUUGCCGUUUCCCCCACUUCGUCGCCGCCUUCCCGAGCCGAGCAGCCCCUGGCCCCGACGCCGACGGCGGCGAGGAGGGAGAGAAACGCGAGCGCGCCUCCCGCUCUUUGCCUCCUCUGAUCGACGCGCGCGCUGCUGCUGCUCCUGCUUUUUUUUACCCAGCACGAGCAUACAUAGGUGACAGGUAGGGAACCGACCUGGUAGAGGCAGAGACGGAGGUAGAUCUGUGGGGUGGGUGGGAGAGAGAGAGAAGGGAAGGGAUGAGAGGAGAAGCCAACGGAGAGGGCCGCGGGGAGGAAGAGCAGCAGCAGCAGCAGGUGCAGGAGGGGGAGGAGGCGGAUGGCGCGGCGAGGCCGUCUUCAGGGCAGCAGCAGCCAGCGGCGGCUGCGGCGGCGACGACGAGGGGCGUGGGGUACGUCGGGAAGCACCGCCUCUCCGCCGCCAUCGCCCGCCUCGACCAGGAGCUGCAGUCUCUCCAGGAUGAAUUGAAUGAGCUUGAAACCAUGGAACCUGCAUCCGCAGCAUGCCAGGAGGUGAUCACAAGUACCCAAGGAAAACCUGACCCACUUCUUCCAAUCACCAGUAGCCCCGAGAACUCUUCCUGGGACAGAUGGUUCCAGCGUGUGCCAAGCUCUCGCAGCAGCAAGUGGUGGACCUCCAAAGGCUCCAAUUUUUCCUAGCUUCUCCAUGAAGCUGUGUGUGCAGAUUAAACCGCCCUCAAAAAAUUUCGAUCCCAUCGGUGGCUUAGUGACAGAAUAUGACCCGGUUUUCACGAGAAUUAUUGUGUUUGUGUAUGUAAUCCCUGUAAUCCUCCUAACAAGGACAUGGAUGAAACUGUAUCCUCAUUCGACCUGAUUGUUGUUCAGAAAAUGUAGCCUUCUUCCUCGGGCCCUGACUGGCUUACAUUUGAUUCCUGCGUCCAUGAGUUGUGUACAUUGGAUAAGUUAGUGAAUUCUGUUGAAAUUUGCUGGAAUUCGCCGGUUUACUCGGCUUGUUUU